rnacentral:misc_RNA from 1 species
GAUGAAGAACGCAGCGAAAUGCGAUAAGUAAUGUGAAUUGCAGAAUUCAGUGAAUCAUCGAAUCUUUGAACGCACAUUGCGCCCGCCAGUAUUCUGGCGGGCAUGCCUGUUCGAGCGUCAUUUCAACCAUCAAGCCCCCGGCUUGUGUUGGGGACCUGCGGCUGCCGCAGGCCCUGAAAACCGGUGGCGGGCUCGCUAGUCACUCCGAGCGUAGUAAUACAUCUCGCUCAGGGCGUGCUGCGGGUUCCGGCCGUUAAAAAGCCUUAUUUACCCAAGGUUGACCUCGGAUCAGGUAGGAAGACCCGCUGAACUUAAGCAUAUCAAUAAGCGGAGGA